GGGAAGUAGCUAGUGACCACUGCUUUAAAACUGAUAAUAGAGUGUAAACAGCAAGAAGGGAAGUAGCUAGUGACCACUGCUUUAAAACUGAUAAUAGAGUGUAAACAACAAGAAGGGAAGUAGCUAGUGACCACUGCUUUAAAACUGAUAAACUAUAAGAAACAAUGUAUAACUAUUUGCUUCAAAACAGACCAAUCCAAACGUAGCUGACAAUAGAGAACCUUCUCUCACCUUUUUUUUAGGACCAUUCAACCAUUGAUCCUGGAUCAGAACUAUAUCAAUGUAAAGAACCAAGUCAUCAAGGCAGAGAGAAGAAUCUUAAAAGAGCUGGGUUUCUGUGUACACGUGAAACAUCCUCAUAAGAUUAUCGUCACUUUUCUUCAAGUUCUGGACUGUGAGAAGAACCAGAAAUUGAUGCAAACUGCAUGAGCUUAGGUGAGUACCUAAGUCUGCCUGGACCCACCACCAGGACUCGGCUCGGCUGAUUCUCCAACCCACCCAGGGCACUCCUGUCAAGAGGGCCAGCUGCUCUAAACAGACCAGCGGUGUUACAUGUAAACACUGAUUGUACUUGUGCUGUUAAACUAAGUACUAGUUGAAAGUUUUAACGAUAUACGAAAAGGAGAUUGAAAAUGUAAAAUUAUCAUCAGUCAUAAAGAUAUUUAUGUCAAAGUUGUAUUGUUUUUCCUAUUAAUGGAUGGUAAAUAUCAACAGUCUAUAGUUUGUGUAAAAUUUUGUUUAGUGAAUAUGUAUAUGUGAACACGAGGUUUGAGGUUUAAAUUGUGUAGUAGUAGUAGUAGUAGUAUUGUGUAAAUAACUUUUAGAUGGAGUUGGUGAAGUAAGACAGUACUGGAAAAAUAGUGUUUUUUAAAUUUCUUCAGUGGGCAUAGUAUCAGUCCAGGCAACAAAUAUAUCUGACAAUUAACAUCAGUUGUGUGUGAUAAUUUUAACAGUCUGUUUAGAAAGUUUCAAUUUAGACCAUAAAAAUUGUGUUGGAAGUUUAUAUCCAAAUUGCUCUUCAAGAUGUAUGCUUAUUUAAUGAAAGUAAUGAAUCACCUUUAGAUUACCUUAGAUGAUGUGUUUUAGUACAACUAUUGUUUAGGAUUAAAGAAAGAUUAGCUCAGGAUUUACCUGUUUUUUAAUAAUAAUCAGUGAUAAAAGAUUAGCAACUUGGAUUACUAAGUUUAUGUGUAGUGGAAUCACCUUGAGAUUAGCUCAGGAUUUACCUGUUUUU